AGGGCACCACCAGGAGUGGAGCCUGCGGCUUAAUUUGACUCAACACGGGGAAACUUACCAGGUCCGGACAUAGUAAGGAUUGACAGACUGAGAGCUCUUUCUUGAUUCUAUGGGUGGUGGUGCAUGGCCGUUCUUAGUUGGUGGAGCGAUUUGUCUGACGAACGAGACCUCGGCCUGCUAACUAGCUACACGGAGUCAUCCCUUCGUGGUCAGCUUCUUAGAGGGACUAUGGCCGCUUAGGCCAUGGAAGUUUGAGGCA
rnacentral:rRNA from 1 species